GGCCAAGUUUUUUAGGGCACACGGUGGAUGCCUUGGCAUCAGGAGCCGAUGAAGGACGUGGGAGGCUGCGUUAAGCCUCGGGGAGUCGCCAACCAGACGUUGAUCCGGGGAUGUCCGAAUGGGGAAACCUAGCACCAGUCAUGUGGUGUUGCCUCCGCCUGAAUGUAUAGGGCGGUUGGUGGUAACGCGGGGAAGUGAAACAUCUCAGUACCCGUAGGAAGAGAAAACAACAGUGAUUCCGUGAGUAGUGGUGAGCGAAAGCGGAUGAGGCUAAACCUGGCAUGUGUGAUAGCCGGCAGGCGUUGCAUGUUGGGGGUCGUGGGACCCUCUGGUGGUUUCUGCCGAAGCCACAAGAAGUGAUAAACCUUCGAGAUAGUUGAAGCCUCUGGGAAGGGGCGCCGUAGACCGUGAGAGCCGGGUAGGCGAAAUCUUGAGGGCUUCUUGAGGGGAUCCCAAGUAGCACGGGGCCCGAGAAAUCCUGUGUGAAUCUGCCAGGACCACCUGGUAAGCCUAAAUACUUCCUGAUGACCGAUAGUGCACGAGUACCGUGAGGGAAAGGUGAAAAGUGCCCCGGUGAGGGGUCGUGAAAUAGUACCUGAAACCGUGUGCCUACAAGCCGUAGGAGCUUGCAGAGACUUGUUCUCUGUGUGAUGUGACUGCGUGCCUUUUGAAGAAUGAGCCUGCGAGUUAUGGUGUGUGGCGAGGUUAACCCGUGUGGGGGAGCCGUAGCGAAAGCGAGUCUGAAGAGGGCGUUUGAGUCGCAUGCUGUAGACCCGAAGCGGAGUGAUCUACGCAUGGGCAGGUUGAAGCUCAGGUAAGACUGGGUGGAGGACCGAACCCACCAGGGUUGAAAACCUGGGGGAUGACCUGUGUGUAGGGGUGAAAGGCCAAUCAAACUCCGUGAUAGCUGGUUCUCCCCGAAAUGCAUUUAGGUGCAGCGUCGCGUGUUUCUUGCCGGAGGUAGAGCACUGGAUGGCCGAUGGGCCCGACAAGGUUACUGACGUCAGCCAAACUCCGAAUGCCGGUAAGUGAGAGCGUGGCAGUGAGACUGCGGGGGAUAAGCUUCGUAGUCGAGAGGGAAACAGCCCAGAUCACCGACUAAGGCCCCUAAGCGUGUGCUAAGUGGGAAAGGAUGUGGAGUCGCAGAGACAACCAGGAGGUUGGCUUAGAAGCAGCCACCCUUGAAAGAGUGCGUAAUAGCUCACUGGUCAAGUGAUUCCGCGCCGACAAUGUAGCGGGGCUCAAGUACACCGCCGAAGUCGUGGCAUUCAGCGCCUUGUGUGCUGGAUGGGUAGGGGAGCGUCGUGCAGCCGGCGAAGCAGCAGAGUGAUCUAGUUGUGGAGGCUGUGCGAGUGAGAAUGCAGGCAUGAGUAGCGAAUGCAGGGUGAGAAACCCUGCCGCCGGAUGACCAAGGGUUCCUGGGCCAGGCUAAUCCGCCCAGGGUAAGUCGGGACCUAAGGCGAGGCCGACAGGCGUAGUCGAUGGACAACGGGUUGAUAUUCCCGUACCCGCUUCAACGCGCCCAUACUGAACCUUUUGAUGCUAAGAGUCCUUAAGUCAGGGAUGUAGGCCUUCGGGUCUUGUCUUUGGCCGAACGCUCGAACCGAUUGAGUAGUAGGUAAGCGAUGGGGUGACGCAGGAAGGUAGUCCAGCCCAGGCGAUGGUUGUCCUGGGGUAAGCAUGUAGCCNNNNNNNNNNNNNNNNNNNNNNNNNNNNNNNNNNNNNNNNNNNNNNNNNNNNNNNNNNNNNNNNNNNNNNNNNNNNNNNNNNNNNNNNNNNNNNNNCUAAGGCGAUCGGGUGAACUGUGGUUAAGGAACUCGGCAAAUUGCCCCCGUAACUUCGGGAGAAGGGGGACCUCUGCUGGUGAUCAGACUAGCUCUGGGAGCUGGUGGGGGUCGCAGUGGCCAGGGGGAAGCGACUGUUUACUAAAAACACAGGUCCGUGCGAAGUCGUAAGACGAUGUAUACGGACUGACGCCUGCCCGGUGCCGGAACGUUAAGGGGACCGCUUAGCACAGGUAACUGUGCGAAGGUGAGAACUUAAGCGCCGGUAAACGGCGGUGGUAACUAUAACCAUCCUAAGGUAGCGAAAUUCCUUGUCGGGUAAGUUCCGACCUGCACGAAUGGCGUAACGACUUCCCCGCUGUCUCAACCGCAGACCCGGCGAAAUUGCACUACGAGUAAAGAUGCUCGUUACGCGCAGCAGGACGGAAAGACCCCGGGACCUUCACUACAGCUUGACAUUGGCGUUUGGAACGUCUUGUGUAGGAUAGGUGGGAGACUGGGAAGCUGUCACGCUAGUGAUGGUGGAGUCAUUGGUGAAAUACCACUCUGGUCGUUUUGAACGUCUAACUCUGGUCCGUGAUCCGGAUCGGGGACAGUGUCUGGUGGGUAGUUUAACUGGGGCGGUUGCCUCCUAAAGAGUAACGGAGGCGCCCAAAGGUUCCCUCAGCCUGGUUGGCAAUCAGGUGUCGAGUGUAAGUGCACAAGGGAGCUUGACUGUGAGACUGACGGGUCGAGCAGGAGCGAAAGCUGGGACUAGUGAUCCGGCAUCGGCAUGUGGAAGCGGUGUCGCUCAACGGCUAAAAGGUACCCCGGGGAUAACAGGCUGAUCUUCCCCAAGAGUCCAUAUCGACGGGAUGGUUUGGCACCUCGAUGUCGGCUCGUCGCAUCCUGGGGCUGGAGUAGGUCCCAAGGGUUGGGCUGUUCGCCCAUUAAAGCGGUACGCGAGCUGGGUUUAGAACGUCGCGAGACAGUUCGGUCCCUAUCCGCUGCGCGCGCAGGAGACUUGAAAGGAGCUGUCCCUAGUACGAGAGGACCGGGACGGACGAACCUCUGGUGUGCCAGUUGUACCGCCAGGUGCACGGCUGGUUGGCUACGUUCGGAAGGGAUAACCGCUGAAAGCAUCUAAGCGGGAAGCUCGCCUUGAGAUGAGGUCUCCCACCACGAGAGUGGGUAAGGCCCCCCAGAGACGAUGGGGUUGAUAGGCCGGAGGUGGAAGCACGGUAACGUGUGGAGCUGACCGGUACUAAUAGGCCGAGGACUUGACCAC
rnacentral:rRNA from 1 species